GUCCUGUAGCCGGGCCGGCUUGGGGCUUGGUUCUAUGUCCCUGCGGGUCGGUGCAAGGGCGAAGAGGAACCCGUGGGCCUCAGGGGAUCCCGGGGGGCCGGACCAGUGUUCCCUAGUUGUGGGAGCAGACGCGUGGGCACAUUGCGGGCGGGCAGGGCCUGAAGUGCAGUCCUCCUGGGUCGCAUUUACAGAAGUUUAUACGAGACCUAGUUUCCAGGGAAGAACUCACUGAUUCCGCGAGGGAGAUGGCUUAAUGGAUGAUGGUCGUCAGCCUUAAGGAUACUUCAGUCUUAACUGUGUGUUACAAAGUUUGAAAGGGAGGGUUCCCUAUGAAUAAGAAGCACACUUGAAAGAACAGCCAUCUGGUCUAACCUCUCACUGGUGCUUCAGAGGAGGAAAAAAGGUCACAGCUAUGUUUCCAGUGUCCUCUGGGUGUUUCCAAGAGCAACAAGAAAUGAAUAAAUCUCUGCCACCCUCCAGGGUGCCCCGACUCACUUUCCCUGCAGAUGGAGGCAAGGAGGCUCCACAGACAACCCCCCUGCCUGAGGUCACAUAGUGGCCAGCAGGCCAGGGCCCUUCCCACAGAGCCCCGAUCUAAAGACAGAACACAGAGGCUACAGGAAGACUAAUCCAGAACCUCUGAGACAGCCAGGGACCACAUGAGGACUCUCCCCAGACAGCCAGAAGGCCCUUUGCUAGUUUCUUGGUACUUCAGUGGAUGUGGCAGUGGUUCUUCUGUUGGGGACCAGUGAGUACACACUGGGGAGGGCUCACCUGUGCUUCCUCAGUGGCUCCACCUCUGCUUCUAAAAAAAAUGACUCAUUCCAGAGCUGGCGCAGAGAAAAUACAAGCUGAGCUUAGAACAUCUUCUGCCAGAAAGUAAAAAAGUGCCGACAGAGUAAUGGAGACAAAUCAAAGAGACAUAAAGUCAGCUUGGAAUGUCUACUACUGGCCUAAUCUUGGGGAAUUGGAGCAUCAGAAUCAUGAGCUUUCCUUCUCCCUUAUUUAUUGGUUUUAUUUCUCCAUGUAGAACAAAGAAGAGAAUAAGAAAAUAAUCAUCUGGUAACCAUCAUAGUAAUAAUUGUUCAAACACAAGUCAUCCAUGAAAUGCUAAAUCUAGUGGGUUCUGAGGAGUAACCAGAUAUUUACAGAGCCUCAAAGUAUCUCCAUACAAAAUACGGUUGAACUACAAAAAGAAAAUUGUAACAUUAGCAUGGACAAACCUGGCAGGUACUCCUUAACUCUCCUAAGUAAUAAAAACUGUAAAAUGCAAA
ensembl:lncRNA novel transcript